rnacentral:rRNA from 1 species
CGCCAGCAGCCGCGGUAAAACGUAGGAGGCGAGCGUUAUCCGGAUUUACUGGGCGUAAAGCGCGCGCAGGCGGCUUGGUAAGUUGGACGUGAAAGCUCCUGGCUUAACUGGGAGAGGCCGUUCGAAACUGCCGGGCUUGAGGUUGGGAGAGGGGUGCGGAAUUCCCGGUGUAGUGGUGGAAUGCGUAGAUAUCGGGAGGAACACCAGUGGCGAAGGCGGCACCCUGGCCCACACCUGACGCUGAGGUGCGAAAGCGUGGGGAGUAAACAGGAUUAGAUACCCUGGUAAUCCACGCCGUAAACGAUGUCAACUAGGUGUCGGUGGUGUUACACUAUCGGUGCCGAAGCAAACGCGUUAAGUUGACCGCCUGGGGACUACGGCCGCAAGGCUAAAACUCAAAGGAAUUGACGGGGGCCCGCACAAGU